UACGUAGGGGGCAAGCGUUGUCCGGAUUUAUUGGGCGUAAAGAGCGUGUAGGCGGUUUGGUAGGUCCGUUGUGAAAACUCGAGGCUCAACCUCGAGACGCCGAUGGAAACCAUCAGACUAGAGUCCGGAAGAGGAGAAUGGAAUUCCUGGUGUAGCGGUGAAAUGCGCAGAUAUCAGGAAGAACACCCGUGGCUAAGGCGGUUCUCUGGGCCUUACCUGACGCUGAGGAGCGAAAGCGUGGGGAGCGAACAGG
rnacentral:rRNA from 1 species